GUAUACAGCCAUGCCACCCUGAACAAGCCUGAUCCCAUCUGAUCUCGGAAGCUAAGCAGGAUCGGGCCCAGUUAGUACUUGAAUGGGAGACCACCUAGGAAGACCACACACUGGAGGCA
rnacentral:rRNA from 1 species